CCAGCCCCCAAAAAUGCCCCAGUCUUCUCAUCACCCGGCCGCCUCCCAUGACCAGAAACCCCCGGCCACCACGAGCCUACCACCCCGGCCGCCGCUGGCCUCCAUCCCCGGCCGCUGCUGGCCUCCAUCCCCGACCGCCGCGAGGCUCCCACCCCCGGCCGCUACGAGGCUCCCACCCCCGGCCAUCUCUGGCCUCCAUCCCCAACCGCCGCGAGGCUCCCACCUCCGCCCACCGCUAGCCUCCAUCCCCGGCCGCCGCGAGGCUCCCACCCCCGGCCACCGCGAGCCUCAAUCCCCGGCCGCCGCGAGCGCCACCGCCCUGCGUGCCCGCAUAUGUCCCAUUCCCGGCGACAAGGUCGCCGCCUAUGGAUCUCUCCUGUAGCCUCCGUUUGUGCUAGUGGAGGGAGAAAUCAGAGAUGGAGUUGGCGAAUUUCUUGUGCCUUUUCUGUUCAAUGGAUAGAUGGAUGGAUGGGUGUAGUUCUCUGAAUGUAACCUGUGAUCCAUUGCUGCUCAACUUCCUCUGAACCCCUAAUCUUGUUCUGCUCCCAGUCAUUAUCAGUUCGACAAAAGGUUGUAGAAAAGGUCAGAGUUGAGACUAGUUGUCAUUAAGGUUAGCCCCUUUGUUUCAGAUUCAGUAUCUCCAUUACCAGUAUAAAAAAAAGGGCCAGCGGCCCAAUCCUAGUGCCGCUCAUGAUCUCCCUCUCCAAGCACCGCACCCAUUAAGCACCCACACAUGGGCAAAUCCUGGCGCCGCUCGUGAUCUCUGCCUCCGUCAGUUCCACUUCGCCGGAGCAAUCAGUCUAGAGGAGGAGGUGUAGCCGGUCCUCCUGAUCUCCGACGUCUUAUUCCAACUCCAAAAAAAUUCUUUUUGAGUUCUAUUCUUAGUCACAGUACACAUGCAGCUUCUAAACUUCUUGUCCAGUCAUUCUAGUACUGAUGAAGAUCGAGUUGAUUGAAAUUAUGUAGUCGAUUACUGAGACCCUUACUAGUCCUUCCAUAUAUAGAACUUAUGCCUGAUAGGGACAUGACUUAUCUCUUUGUUGCCUGCUUGUUUUUGUAAAAUUCUUUGAACUUACUUGUGAUAUAUUUGGACCUUUGCCUCAUUAGUACAACAUCACACUCCAUAGCCGGGCACGAGAAAAGCUGCGUGCAGGCCACCCUAUGCUCCGUCCUCUAUCCGCCUCAGUCAUCUCCCUCUCAUUCUCUCUCUGCUCCGUGUGUGUGUGCAGGGAGUGGGAGGAGAUAGAGCAGGGGCGUGGGAGGCCCUUCCACGGUGAAUGCAUAUGCAUCUUCCAUGGAGAUUGUGAGCUCUCUCAAUUAUUGCUUGAGGAUUUAUAUUAUUGGUUUGUCCACUGUAGUUCUUGUAUAGCGGCGUCCUCUUUUUCUCAUGUUCCUCUUUAGAUGUUGCUGCAUGUGUUUAAUGACCCACUGAUAUGAUUUCUGGAAACAAGCUUCAGUACAGAGAAGCUUCAGUAUGAGAAAAAAUGGGUCAUUAGUUCAUCCAUAUGCAACCUCCCGCGUGGUCAUCCAUUUUUAUUUGGAGCCUACUCACUACAAAGCACAAAAGAGGUUGGUGCUCACCUUCUUUGAGACCGCCGCCCACUCCCACAUUUACAGGCUCUACGACAAGACCUACUGCCUCGGCACCGCCACCGAUUGUGGAGUUUGAAGUAGCGGAGACGACAACCAUAUGUAGAUCGGCGAGUGCGGGAUCAACCUCAGCAGCAGCCAGAAGCAGCGCAUUCAGCUCGCCCGCGUCGUCUACCAGGACUGCGACAUCUAACUCCUUGACGACGUCUUCAGCACCAUCGAUGCGCACACCGGCAGUGAGAUCUUCAAGGUUGCGGCAAAAACAUGAUGCACAAGUUCAUUUUUUGUAUGCUUUUUAGUACAUCUACUUCCUGAAGGUCUGAAUAUGUUGCCCCCACCAUGCCGAUUUACUGCUGCGACCUCGUUGAUUCCCCGCCUUCGAACUGCUCCCUCAAUCCCCUCCAUGGACCACCGCCGAUAGUGGGCUGCACCUUCCACGGGAAGCCAUGUGACCGUGUAGAUGCACAUCUUCAUUGAGUCGCUCACUGCGCAUAUGUGUGUGUUGUGUUCGUGCGUGCGUGGCCGCGACCAUGCUUCACAUUUCGGUGUUGUCUAUGUGUGGUCGUGCGGGCGUCUCACCUCAAACACAUCCCAGGCCGGUGCACGAGUUGCUGAGGAAACGCCCAAGGUUGUGGCCACUCGACCACAACUUCGUCUCCUGGAAGGUGUCGGAUGUGGACAGCCAGAACGAGUUCAAGUCUAUGUGGCUCAUCGAGGAGAAAAAGAAGAGGAACUCAACUUGUUUCUCUGUGGACAAGGCCAGAAGAAAUUGUGCUCUGAACAUGCUUGUUGAUACGCCCAUGAGAACGGGUGCAUUUUUCUAUAGAUUUUUGUGUUGCUGACAAAGCUACACAAGUUCUACUUUUACAAGUUGAACUUAAGAACAUCCUAUAGAAAGUUCGUGCAUGUAUGGAUGUUCUUUUGACAUUGAGCUAUUAAGUGCUUGCAAAAUCUACAGUUUUGAUCCAUCAA